rnacentral:rRNA from 1 species
UACGGGGGGGGCAAGCGUUGUUCGGAAUUACUGGGCGUAAAGGGUUUGUAGGUGGCCCGCUAAGUCACACGUGAAAUCCCUCAGCUUAACUGGGGAACUGCGUGUGAGACUGGCAGGCUCGAGGGCAGGAGAGGAACGCGGAAUUCCAGGUGUAGCGGUGAAAUGCGUAGAGAUGUGGAGGAACACCGAUGGCGAAGGCAGCCCCCUGGGUCAACACUGACGCUCAUGCACGAAAGCGUGGGGAGCAAACAGG